rnacentral:rRNA from 1 species
UACGGAGGGUGCAAGCGUUAUCCGGAUUCACUGGGUUUAAAGGGUGCGUAGGCGGGCAGGUAAGUCCGUGGUGAAAUCUCUGAGCUUAACUCAGAAACUGCCAUGGAUACUAUUUGUCUUGAAUGUUGUGGAGGUAAGCGGAAUAUGUCAUGUAGCGGUGAAAUGCUUAGAUAUGACAUAGAACACCAAUUGCGAAGGCAGCUUAGUACACAAAUAUUGACACUGAUGCACGAAAGCGUGUGGAUCAAGCAGG